UUGUUAGGUAGGAAAAUUCUUACCUGUUCCUCUAGUUAAGAGGUAGAUAGAACGGGAUGUCUAGAAUUAGCAAAAUUUGUGAUUAAUGUCUCUGCAUGAUUAGGACUUACAACACCCUUAUUACACCAAACUGAU